UACGGAGGGGCUAGCGUUGUUCGGAAUUACUGGGCGUAAAGGGCGCGUAGGCGGUGCGGCAAGUUGGGAGUGAAAUCUCUGGGCUUAACCCAGAGGCUGCUUCCAAAACUGCUGUGCUUGAGUGUGGGAGAGGCGCGUGGAAUUGCAGGUGUAGCGGUGAAAUGCGUAGAUAUCUGCAGGAACACCCGUGGCGAAAGCGGCGCGCUGGACCACUACUGACGCUGAGGAACGAAAGCUAGGGGAGCAAACAGG
rnacentral:rRNA from 1 species